rnacentral:rRNA from 1 species
CUACGGGGUGCUGCAGUGAGGAAUAUUGCACAAUGGGGGGAACCCUGAUGCAGCAACGCCGCGUGGAGGAUGACGCAUUUCGGUGUGUAAACUCCUUUUAUAUGUCAAGAAAAUGACGGUAGCAUAUGAAUAAGCACCGGCUAACUCCGUGCUAGCAGGCCGCGGUAAUACGGAGGGUGCAAGCGUUACUCGGAAUCACUGGGCGUAAAGGACGCGUAGGCGGGUUGGAAAGUCAGGUGUGAAAUCCUACAGCUUAACUGUAGAACUGCACUUGAAACUUGUAAUCUAGAGUAUGGGAGGGGGAGAUGGAAUUAGUGGUGUAGGGGUAAAAUCCGUAGAUAUCACUAGGAAUACCUAAAGCGAAGGCGAUCUCCUGGAACAUUACUGACGCUAAGGCGUGAAAGCGUGGGGAGCAAACAGGAUUAGAUACCCGCGUAGUC